rnacentral:tRNA from 1 species
CUUAUCUUAGUUUAAUUAAGAAUGUAGGUUUUGGGGAUCUUUGGUCUCUUAAUGAGAGAUUUGA